ACUGUUCUUCAUGAUCACUAAGUUAAUAGAAGAUCACCCAUGCUUAGGGAAGAUGCAGUGUCCUGCCACAUUAGUUUAGGGUAGACAUUUCAUGCCGACCGAAGAUGGAUGUUCCUAAAUUACUUUUGUGAGAUUUUUAUUUGAAUGCUUAUUAGGCUUGUAGCCAAUUUGCAUGUUAAUCCAAGAAUAAGUUAAAAUACAAAAAACCCUUGUUCCGAUGUUAGUGGUGAAUUCCUUGUCCUAGGUUCUCUCAAACUGAUAACAUUUUAAUUGCAUUUUUUAUUAAAUUUUUUAGUUUAAUUUUCUUCACAAACUCUUCCUUUUAAAUAU
rnacentral:lncRNA from 1 species